UACGAAGGGGACUAGCGUUGUUCGGAAUCACUGGGCGUAAAGGGCGCGUAGGCGGCGCGACAAGUCAGGCGUGAAAGCCCCGGGCUCAACCCGGGAAUUGCGCUUGAUACUGUCGUGCUUGAGGCCGGGAGAGGAUGGCGGAAUUCCCAGUGUAGAGGUGAAAUUCGUAGAUAUUGGGAAGAACACCGGUGGCGAAGGCGGCCAUCUGGACCGGUUCUGACGCUGAGGCGCGAAAGCGUGGGGAGCAAACAGG
rnacentral:rRNA from 1 species